AGUUCUCUUGGUACAGUCUCUAGGGGAGGAAUGUUAGCUUCCCUGUCCUCUGGAGGCUUUUGAUCAGAUUGAGUUCAAUUGGGUUGGGCUGUAUGUGGUAUGAAGCUCUGAGGCUCUGAAGACUCCUGGAAGGCUGGCCCGCCCAGGCUCUCUCCAGUUCUCUCCAGCUGCUUCUCUGCUGUCCGCAAGUGCCUUUGCCCGCCUCCCUAAACUCUGAGGAAUUUGGAUGGGGUUAUGUUUAACUGGAUUGGUCUGGAUGUGCCCGAGGCAAGGGUGAGACUGGAGCCCUAUGGAGGGACCCAGCCAUGGCCCCGUUUCUCCCUGGCUUCCUUCCUGCUAUCCAAACUGGAUGCACCAAGCCCGGCACCCCACUGCUCACAAUGUAGACCCUCCAAACCAGCACCUUUGCCCACUCAGAGGUUCCAGCUGCUGCUGGGGGCUCAGUCCUCUUGAUUGUGGGGGAGGGGUCCUGGGACCUUCGCUCUGCCUUCCCCUUAGCUCUGAGUAUUCUCAAAUUCCGGCUUUUUGGGGGUGUACCUUUUGAUUUGAGUCCAGAAGGAUGGUUCCCCACUUCUGUCCUGUUGUUCAGAUUGAAUUUUGGUGCCCUAGGAGCAUUCAGUCUGUAUUGGUUAAGGAAGGGUCUUCCAUGAGGUCUGAACUUUUGCUGCUUGCUAAGCUGCCAUCUUGACUCCGCCCCAAUUUUCCUCUUGUUUUGAAUAUAUCUUGAAAUUCAUUCCUUUGAAGGAAAAUCUUAAGUGGGAGGUCAUAUAAAAAGAGGAGGAGAGGAAGAAGAUAUUAAAAUUAAGUUAAAAACAAAUAACAUAAGAAAACAACUUUCCACACAGAAGAGAUUCUAUAGGAGAAUAGGUAAGCUUUAAAAAUGGGGAAAACAAGUUUUUUAAUGGUCAUAAUGCAUGCCAAUUAUGAAUGCUCAUAUAAGAGAAGAGACAUGAUUUAUAAAGAGACAGGGACCAUACAAUGGAUAUUAUCUAUAGAGAAUUUUUUUACAGAGAAAGACUACUUAUGCAGUCUUGGGAGAAAAUGAAUUGAAGCACCAACUGACAACUGAUACUCAGAAGAAUGGAAAGAGUAUAUUCAUGGAAGAGAUUUUGAGAGAAAAGAGAAAAAUGGCAAGAAAAAGCAAAGUUGGACAAAAUUCUUCAAGGAUCAAGAUAUUACAUUUGCUUCAUAAACAGAUUGAAUGAUUUAGUAAUCAUGCACAAAGACCAAGCUCCUUAAUCCUAUCAAGCUACUUCCUGAAUUUCAUUUUAGACACAUUGUUCAAGACUUUUCAUAGGUGAAGAUCAAUUCAUUUUAUUUUGUGUGAGAUCUAGUAGUCUUGGCUCCUCUCGCUAAAUAAGACUGCUCCCUUUCUUGAUCCUUCCCUGAAAAGUUCAUUGAUCCUAUUCUCCUCAGGGCAACACUGUUGGGUUUACAUCCACAUCCAAUCAAGAUUUCUGGAUUCUUCUAUUCCCAUGACUUCUGCUCUUGGCCACAACUGUAAGACCUGGUUAUCAGAAAUCUACCUAUAACAGGUGAAAAGUUAAUGAACCAAAGCCAGAGCAUAAGAAAAGG